rnacentral:rRNA from 1 species
UACGUAGGGUGCGAGCGUUGUCCGGAAUUAUUGGGCGUAAAGGGCGCGCAGGCGGCUCAUUUUGUCAGGCGUGAAAGCCCCGGGCUUAACCUGGGAACUGCGUUUGAUACGGAUGGGCUAGAGUUCGGGAGAGGAGAGUGGAAUUCCCAGUGUAGAGGUGAAAUUCGUAGAUAUUGGGAAGAACACCGGUGGCGAAGGCGGCUCUCUGGACCGAUACUGACGCUGAGGCGCGAAAGCGUGGGGAGCAAACAGG